GUGAAAAAGAACCUGAAACCGUGUACGUACAAGCAGUGGGAGCCCCACCACCAAAGCAUUCUCUGGUGUUGAAGGCCCUGCAAAGCAGCAUCGCGGUGGCGGAGCGUCGUUUGCGACGCCCAACACACAAAACAAGCGGUGAGUGCUUUGGGGUGGGGUGACUGCGUACCUUUUGUAUAAUGGGUCAGCGACUUAUAUUCUGUAGCAAGGUUAACCGUAUAGGGGAGCCGUAGGGAAACCGAGUCUUAACCGGGCGUUAAGUUGCAGGGUAUAGACCCGAAACCCGGUGAUCUAGCCAUGGGCAGGUUGAAGGUUGGGUAACACUAACUGGAGGACCGAACCGACUAAUGUUGAAAAAUUAGCGGAUGACCUGUGGCUGGGGGUGAAAGGCCAAUCAAACCGGGAGAUAGCUGGUUCUCCCCGAAAGCUAUUUAGGUAGCGCCUCGUGAAUUCAUCUCCGGGGGUAGAGCACUGUUUCGGCUAGGGGGCCAUCCCGGCUUACCAACCCGAUGCAAACUGCGAAUACCGGAGAAUGUUAUCACGGGAGACACACGGCGGGUGCUAACGUCCGUCGUGAAGAGGGAAACAACCCAGACCGCCAGCUAAGGUCCCAAAGUCAUGGUUAAGUGGGAAACGAUGUGGGAAGGCCCAGACAGCCAGGAUGUUGGCUUAGAAGCAGCCAUCAUUUAAAGAAAGCGUAAUAGCUCACUGGUCGAGUCGGCCUGCGCGGAAGAUGUAACGGGGCUAAACCAUGCACCGAAGCUGCGGCAGCGACGCUGAUGCGUUGUUGGGUAGGGGAGCGUUCUGUAAGCCUGUGAAGGUGGCCUGUGAGGGUUGCUGGAGGUAUCAGAAGUGCGAAUGCUGACAUAAGUAACGAUAAAGCGGGUGAAAAGCCCGCUCGCCGGAAGACCAAGGGUUCCUGUCCAACGUUAAUCGGGGCAGGGUGAGUCGACCCCUAAGGCGAGGCCGAAAGGCGUAGUCGAUGGGAAACGGGUUAAUAUUCCCGUACUUGGUGUUACUGCGAAGGGGGGACGGAGAAGGCUAUGUUGGCCGGGCGACGGUUGUCCCGGUUUAAGCGUGUAGGUGUGUGUUCCAGGUAAAUCCGGUUCACUUUAACACUGAGGCGUGAUGACGAGGCACUACGGUGCUGAAGCAACAAAUGCCCUGCUUCCAGGAAAAGCCUCUAAGCAUCAGGUAACAUCAAAUCGUACCCCAAACCGACACAGGUGGUCAGGUAGAGAAUACCAAGGCGCUUGAGAGAACUCGGGUGAAGGAACUAGGCAAAAUGGUGCCGUAACUUCGGGAGAAGGCACGCUGACACGUAGGUGAAGUGAUUUACUCAUGGAGCUGAAGUCAGUCGAAGAUACCAGCUGGCUGCAACUGUUUAUUAAAAACACAGCACUGUGCAAACACGAAAGUGGACGUAUACGGUGUGACGCCUGCCCGGUGCCGGAAGGUUAAUUGAUGGGGUCAGCGCAAGCGAAGCUCCUGAUCGAAGCCCCGGUAAACGGCGGCCGUAACUAUAACGGUCCUAAGGUAGCGAAAUUCCUUGUCGGGUAAGUUCCGACCUGCACGAAUGGCGUAAUGAUGGCCAGGCUGUCUCCACCCGAGACUCAGUGAAAUUGAACUCGCUGUGAAGAUGCAGUGUACCCGCGGCAAGACGGAAAGACCCCGUGAACCUUUACUAUAGCUUGACACUGAACAUUGAGCCUUGAUGUGUAGGAUAGGUGGGAGGCUUUGAAGCGUGGACGCCAGUCUGCAUGGAGCCGGCCUUGAAAUACCACCCUUUAAUGUUUGAUGUUCUAACGUGGACCCGUGAUCCGGGUUGCGGACAGUGUCUGGUGGGUAGUUUGACUGGGGCGGUCUCCUCCUAAAGAGUAACGGAGGAGCACGAAGGUUGGCUAAUCCUGGUCGGACAUCAGGAGGUUAGUGCAAUGGCAUAAGCCAGCUUGACUGCGAGCGUGACGGCGCGAGCAGGUGCGAAAGCAGGUCAUAGUGAUCCGGUGGUUCUGAAUGGAAGGGCCAUCGCUCAACGGAUAAAAGGUACUCCGGGGAUAACAGGCUGAUACCGCCCAAGAGUUCAUAUCGACGGCGGUGUUUGGCACCUCGAUGUCGGCUCAUCACAUCCUGGGGCUGAAGUAGGUCCCAAGGGUAUGGCUGUUCGCCAUUUAAAGUGGUACGCGAGCUGGGUUUAGAACGUCGUGAGACAGUUCGGUCCCUAUCUGCCGUGGGCGCUGGAGAACUGAGGGGGGCUGCUCCUAGUACGAGAGGACCGGAGUGGACGCAUCACUGGUGUUCGGGUUGUCAUGCCAAUGGCACUGCCCGGUAGCUAAAUGCGGAAGAGAUAAGUGCUGAAAGCAUCUAAGCACGAAACUUGCCCCGAGAUGAGUUCUCCCUGAGACUUAGAGUCUCCUGAAGGAACGUUGAAGACGACGACGUUGAUAGGCCGGGUGUGUAAGCGCAGCGAUGCGUUGAGCUAACCGGUACUAAUGAACCGUGAGGCUUAACCUU
rnacentral:rRNA from 1 species